GACGAACGCUGGCGGCGUGCUUAACACAUGCCAGUCGAACGAAGAGCGACGGAAGCUUGCUUCUAUCAAUCUUAGUGGCGAACGGGUGAGUAACGCGUAAUCAACCUGCCCUUCAGAGGGGGACAACAGUUGGAAACGACUGCUAAUACCGCAUACGAUCUAAUCUCGGCAUCGAGGAUGGAUGAAAGGUGGCCUCUACAUGUAAGCUAUCACUGAAGGAGGGGAUUGCGUCUGAUUAGCUAGUUGGAGGGGUAACGGCCCACCAAGGCGAUGAUCAGUAGCCGGUCUGAGAGGAUGAACGGCCACAUUGGGACUGAGACACGGCCCAGACUCCUACGGGAGGCAGCAGUGGGGAAUCUUCCGCAAUGGACGAAAGUCUGACGGAGCAACGCCGCGUGAGUGAUGACGGCCUUCGGGUUGUAAAGCUCUGUUAAUCGGGACGAAAGGCCUUCUUGCGAAUAGUGAGAAGGAUUGACGGUACCGGAAGAGAAAGCCACGGCUAACUACGUG
rnacentral:rRNA from 1 species